rnacentral:rRNA from 1 species
AAGUGUUUGGCCGAGAUCGUGAGUUUUUAUCAAAUGACCUCAAAUCAGGCAAGAAUACCCGCUGAAUUAAGCAUAUCAAUAAGCGGAGGAAAAGAAACUAACAAGGAUUCCCCUAGUAACGGCGAGUGAAGAGGGAAGAGCUCAAAUUUUAAAUCUGCCUUGUUCCAAGGUCGAGUUGUAAUUUGAAGAAGCGUUUUCUUGGGCUCGCGGCCGGUAGAAGUUCUUUGGAACAGGACAUCAUAGAGGGUGACAAUCCCGUCCGUGACCGGUCGUGCGUUCAUAUACGAUACGCUUUCAAAGAGUCGAGUUGUUUGGGAUUGCAGCUCCAAACGGGUGGUAAACAUCACCUAAGGCUAAAUAUUGGCGAGAGACCGAUAGCGAACAAGUACCGUGAGGGAAAGAUGAAAAGAACUUUGAAAAGAGAGUUAAACAGUACGUGAAAUUGUUGAAAGGGAAACGAUUGAAGUCAGUCGUGCUGGCGCGAAAUCAACCCUCUCGUCUUGAGAUCACAUGGCGCGACGAGCCUCAAAACCGUCACGAAGCGUGAACUCUUGACGAAAAGGUGCACUUUCGUGUCCGCUGGUUAACAUCAAUUUCGAACGUCAUAAAAAGGCUGGAGGGAUGUGGCUCCUUCGGGAGUGUUAUAACCUUUAGCGGAAUGUGGCGUUCGGGAUUGAGGAUUGCAACGAAUACCUUCAGGGCUGUUCCACCUGGCUUCUCAUUGGUAUCCUGGUGACGACAGCUUGCUGACGUCGUUAGGAUCAGCUUCUGAACAGGCUAGAGUGUGAGCAAAUUCGUUAAGGAUGUUAACGUAAUGGCUUUAAACGACC